rnacentral:lncRNA from 1 species
AUAAAAACGAGAAACAGAAUUGUGACUAGGGGAAAUAUUAAUUAUAUCAUUAGUAAAAUCGAAAUUUUCCUAAAGUAGAUGACACUCACAUUUCCAAAUAAAACUUCUCCAGACUUGUCCAUUCUCCAGAAGGUCUUAAACCUGCUUUCUUUUCCUUCCUUCCUUCCUUCCUUUUCUCUUUUUUUUUUUUUUUUUUGAGAAAGGAUACAGUGUCAUGAGAAGGUCUUAAACCUGUUUUCUUUUCCUUCCUUCCUUCCAUCUUUAUCUUUCUUUUUUUUUUUUUUGAAAAAGGAUGCAGUGUCACGAUUAUGGCUCACUGCAACCUUGAUUGAACUCCUGGUCUCAAACAAUCCUUCCACCUUGGCCUCCAGAGUAGCUGGGACUAGAGGCAUGUGCCACCAUACCCAGCUAAUUUAUUUUUUUAAUUUUGUCUGUAGAGACAGGGUCUUGCUGCUAUGUUGCCCAGGCUGGUAUCAAACACCUGGCCUCAAGCAAUCCUCCCACCUUGGCUUCCCAAAGUGCUGGGAUUACAGCUAUGAGCCAUUGCACUCAGCCUUAAACCUGUUUUCUAUUAUAACAAAACUUAAAUAUAAGGAAAUAUUACAGUUUUCAUAAAGAUCCACACAGUACUUUGAGGAGUGCAAAAACAACUAGAUUUGAGGUUCUAAAGGUCUUAUGAACUUGGGAUAUGGCACUAAUGUGACAAAAAGCUUCUAAGUAUACGAUCUUGCAAGCUAAUCUGCAUGUCAUGAAACAGGAAGUUUCACAAACCAAAUUGAAAUGCUUACAUCACACAGCUUAUUGAGUCAAUCUUAAACACACAACAAAAAUCAACAGGAAAGAGAUAGGUAAAUUAAUACACUUUGCACAGGGUAUAAGCACUUACUGAAUCCUACUUAAGCCACAUGCAUUUGUCCUGAAUUCCUCAUGAACAUUUUGUGCCUAAGUCCUUCUGGAUUAGUUUGCUAGAGCUGCCAUAACUGGGUACCAUGAAUUAUGUGGCUUCAACAACAGAAGUUUACUGUUUCAAAGUUUUGGAGACUAGAAGUCUGAAGUCAAUAUGUCCACAGCAUUGAUUCCUGCUCAGAGCUUUCAAGGAGAAUCUAUCCCACAUCUCCAUCCUAGCAUCUGGUGGUCUGCUUGCAAUCUUUUGCAUUCCUUGGCUUCUGCUACAUCACCCCAAUCUCUGUCUUCAUCUUCACAUGCCGUUAUCCCUCUGUGCAUGUCUGUGUCCAAAUUUCUUUUUUUAUAAGGACACCAAGUCAUAUUGGAUUAGGAGCUCACCCUACUCCAGUAUGAUGUCAUCUUAACCAUUUACAUCUGCAACACCACUAAUUCUAAACAAGGUCACAUUCUGUGAUACUGGGGGUUAAGACCCCAAUAUAUGAAUUUGGGGGACACAAUUCAACCCAUAAUACCUUCCAUUCCUUCUUUAUUUAUUUAUUUAUUUAUUUUUUUAUUGAUC